GCAGACACAUUACAGCCAAUCAGUAGCAGACCCUCCCUCCCAGACCCUUCCACCUCCUGGACAGCAUCCAUUUUACAUUUAUUGUGAAGCUGCAUUCUUAGUGAGCUGUCCAGGAGGUGGGAAGGUCUGGGAGGGAGGGUCUGCUGCUGAUUGGCUGGAAUGUGUCU
rnacentral:miRNA from 1 species